AUUGAACGCUGGCGGCAUGCCUAACACAUGCAAGUCGCACGCGAAAGGGGGCAACCCUGAGUAGAGUGGCGGACGGGUGAGUAACGCGUAGGAAUCUACCUGGUAGUGGGGGACAACCCGGUGAAAACCGGGCUAAUACCGCAUACGAUCCACGGAUGAAAGCAGGGGACCGCAAGGCCUUGCGCUAUCAUAUGACCCUGCGUCGGAUUAGCUAGUUGGUGAGGUAAAGGCUCACCAAGGCAACGAUCCGUAGCUGGGUUGAGAGAACGACCAGCCACACUGGGACUGAGACACGGCCCAGACUCCUACGGGAGGCAGCAGUGGGGAAUAUUGGACAAUGGGGGCAACCCUGAUCCAGCAAUGCCGCGUGUGUGAAGAAGGCCUUCGGGUUGUAAAGCACUUUCGGUGGGGACAAACAAGGUGGAGCUAACAUCUCCGCCUCUGAUGGUACCCAAAGAAGAAGCACCGGCUAACUCUGUGCCAGCCGCCGCGGUAA
rnacentral:rRNA from 1 species